UACAGAGGGUGCAAGCGUUGUUCGGAAUUAUUGGGCGUAAAGCGCGUGUAGGCGGCUUGGCAAGUCGGGUGUGAAAUCCCUCAGCUCAACUGAGGAAGUGCGCCCGAAACUGCUUUGCUUGAGUGCUGGAGAGGGUCGCGGAAUUCCCCAAGUAGAGGUGAAAUUCGUAGAUAUGGGGAGGAACACCGGUGGCGAAGGCGGCGACCUGGACAGUAACUGACGCUGAGACGCGAAAGCGUGGGUAGCAAACAGG
rnacentral:rRNA from 1 species